UACGGAGGGUGCAAGCGUUAGUCGGAAUUACUGGGCGUAAAGGGCGCGUAGGCGGGAAUGUAAGUCAGAUGUGAAAUUUCGAGGCUCAACCUCGAAGGUGCAUCUGAAACUGUGUUUCUAGAGGAGAAGCGGAGAAAACGGAAUUCCACGUGUAGCGGUGAAAUGCGUAGAUAUGUGGAAGAACACCUGUGGCGAAAGCGGUUUUCUAGCUUUGACCUGACGCUGAGGCGCGAAAGCAAGGGGAGCAAACAGG
rnacentral:rRNA from 1 species